rnacentral:lncRNA from 1 species
CAAGUGGUGUCUGGUGGAGUGGAGUGCUGGAGAGAGAAAACAGCUCUCUACUGUCAGACAGCCAUGUUCCUUUGUUCCAUUCCAGAAGCCAUUUACAAAACAGCUCUGCUCUGUCUCACACACACACACACACACACACACACACACACACACACACACACACACACACACACACACACACACACACACACACACACACACACACACACACACACACACACACACACACACACACACACACACACAAACACAUAUCCACUGUUUAGGCACUUGGCCAUUCAUACAGUGUGUCGAGAGCUAAAUCCAGUCCUCAAAGUACAGGGAGAUAGCACCCAAGCACAUGCCUGUACCAUUAAAAUAUCUUAAGUUUACCUUUUAAAAGCUGAUUUUAUGGUUGAAGUGCUUACCCCAUUCUCAAAACAACACAAUAUUCAUCAUCAAACGUAUUAUAUUCAGCCUUGUUAAAUUGAGCUGUUUGAUUUUCAAUCGAUACAUUUCCUGCAACUAGGCAUUUACUAAAUAACUGGGUAAAUACUACAUGGAUAUUUGUUCUUCUUCGACUAUGCACCGGGAAAUAAAUCCAACGUAUGCAGGGAAAAACGUUUGGAUAUCAGAGCGCCGGUAACUCACCAGCAUUACGACCAGGAAUACGACUUUCCCGCAUCAGAUCCUUUGUUCGUACCCCCCAGGGCAAUUGAACUGAUUCCAGAGGCUGACCCAAAACACCUCCGGCGGAGGAGAGGUACUCGGAGGGGACUUCUAGUCCAACUCAGGAGGCGCGCACACCACCCACCGCUUCUGAGUAUAUUACUCACUAAUGUUCAGUCUCUGGAUAAUAAAGAUGACGAUCUCAGGGGACGAGGAUUUCCUUCCAGAGAGACGUCAGGGAUUGUAACAUACUCUGUUUCACGGAAGCAUGGCUGUUACGGAUACAGGUAUCCUGUGUGUGUGUUUCUUUUCUCUCCUUCUCACCUCACAGGUGACAAUCAUCAUUCCCCAAUCAGUCAUCAAUCAGUCACCAACCAAGACACCUGCUCCUUUCCCCUCAAUAAAUCACAUCCCUUUCCCUUGGUUUAAAAACCCAGCCAGUUGUUUUCUCUUUAGUUCAAUCUCUCUCUGUAAGAUCAAUCUCUUAGUGCUCAAUCUCUCUCUCCGUAUCGCUCUCAAUACAGAUCUCUCUUUUGUUUUGCAACUACAUGUCACUUUGUCCGUCAGCCUGUGAGUAUUGUUGUUUCUUUCCUUGGGUCCAGCUCAGCCCCUUUUCUCACACCCCUUUACCGUGUGUUUAAAAAUAAACCUUUAGUGUUUGACGGUAAAUUUCAGUUGUCUGUGGUUUUUGUUCUCACUGUUACUUUUUCACUAUUAUAAUUUGCAUGAUUUAUGUUACGGGUCUCGUUGCCAUCCCCCCUAGACUGCAGGGCCAAAGAGUAUUCGUAACAUAAGUGGGCCGGGAUCUGUCUUUACUGACACCCAUACCGC